UUACUAAAUCAGGACUAAAUUUCACACAGAUUUAGGAAAAAAAAAAAAAAAACACUAAACUACUCAAUAACCUCCAUUGAAUGACAUGCCAAAGUUCUCUCCAAGACCCUUCUCCUCACUCAGGUAGAGAGUCCCAAAAAACUUAGAGCUCCAAAGAAGUUCAUCUACGAGGAUUUUUUCACAUAAAAAACAGAAAAUCUGUCUUCUAAGUGAAGCAGUGAGCUCUAAUGCUGCACUCUCUGGAUGCAAGGACAAUGAGGAAGACUCCUCUUCCCUCUCAGUGGUAGAAGGUAUAGUGGUGAAUAUGUCUUGGGGCCCAGCAGGGCUUGCCUCAGUGUCGGGGGAAGAAACAACAACUUCUGCUGUCUCCCCAGGGCCAGGCCUGUAAGCAGCACUCUUUUGGGCAGCUGCACAGAACUCAGCUUCUCCAGGCAGCUAUGGAGAGACAGACCCUGGGAGGCAAAGGCCAUGGAGAGACCACGACAGCAACUAGAAAGUGUCUUAUGGUCAGACUGGUCCCCAGGAGCAGUGUAUCUCGGUUCAGUUUAGUGACCGCUGUGAUCCUGGACUCCAUUGGCUCAUGGGAAAAGGCGUUGGCUUUGGUGUCUGGGUCCCAGCCCCAUGUGGUACUUGACUGCUUGGUGCCUCACUCAGAGAGAUUGUAA
rnacentral:lncRNA from 1 species